rnacentral:lncRNA from 1 species
GGAUUCAGUGGAAGAAACGACAUGAGCGCAAUUAAUCAGGAAGUUGGAUCUGGAAAAAAAAAUCACAAAGAAAGCUUGUCAAGAGAAUAAGAAUAGAGUACCGAUAGAUUUAUGCAAUAUAUUUGUGGUGAAUCUUCAAGGUGAAGGCAAGGUAGGUUCGAUGCAGGUAUCUCAGGUGUACUGUUUGGCCUGGUGGAGCAUGAAGAGGUAUGAGAAUGAAGGAUGGAUUUGGG